rnacentral:rRNA from 1 species
GAUGAACGCUGGCGGCGUGCCUAAUACAUGCAAGUCGAGCGAACAGACGAGGAGCUUGCUCCUCUGACGUUAGCGGCGGACGGGUGAGUAACACGUGGAUAACCUACCUAUAAGACUGGGAUAACUUCGGGAAACCGGAGCUAAUACCGGAUAAUAUAUUGAACCGCAUGGUUCAAUAGUGAAAGACGGUUUUGCUGUCACUUAUAGAUGGAUCCGCGCCACAUUAGCUAGUUGGUAAGGUAACGGCUUACCAAGGCGACGAUGCGUAGCCGACCUGAGAGGGUGAUCGGCCACACUGGAACUGAGACACGGUCCAGACUCCUACGGGAGGCAGCAGUAGGGAAUCUUCCGCAAUGGGCGAAAGCCUGACGGAGCAACGCCGCGUGAGUGAUGAAGGUCUUCGGAUCGUAAAACUCUGUUAUUAGGGAAGAACAAAUGUGUAAGUAACUAUGCACGUCUUGACGGUACCUAAUCAGAAAGCCACGGCUAACUACGUG